GCGAGUUGAUGUGUGGCUUUCGAGCCUUAGUGAGGCUUGAGGAAACUCCGCCCCACGUGUAGAAUUGCAACGUCCGCAAGGGCGUAAGGCGAGAGCCUUGGCUCCGGAGCAGAAACGAAACGUCCACCCAGCAAGUGCCGAUGAAGCAUGCUGAGUUGUUGAGAAUGCUGGAUGCGAAACGGUGAAACGGCCGUCCUGCAAGUGGAAAGGGCAAACAGACGCUGAUGAAGCGCUACCUGAAGCGCGGGUAGCCCGAUUAGCUGAAUGCCGCAUUCAAACAGAAGGCGGGUUACAACCAAC
rnacentral:RNase_P_RNA from 1 species